GACGAACGCUGGCGGCGUGCUUAACACAUGCAAGUCGAACGGUAAGGCCCUUUCGGGGGUACACGAGUGGCGAACGGGUGAGUAACACGUGGGUGAUCUGCCCUGCACUUUGGGAUAAGCCUGGGAAACUGGGUCUAAUACCGGAUAGGACUACGCGAUGCAUGUCGUGUGGUGGAAAGCUUUCGCGGUGUGGGAUGGGCCCGCGGCCUAUCAGCUUGUUGGUGGGGUGAUGGCCUACCAAGGCGACGACGGGUAGCCGGCCUGAGAGGGUGUCCGGCCACACUGGGACUGAGAUACGGCCCAGACUCCUACGGGAGGCAGCAGUGGGGAAUAUUGCACAAUGGGCGCAAGCCUGAUGCAGCGACGCCGCGUGGGGGAUGACGGCCUUCGGGUUGUAAACCCCUUUCAGCACAGACGAAGCGUAAGUGACGGUAGGUGCAGAAGAAGCACCGGCCAACUACGUG
rnacentral:rRNA from 1 species